rnacentral:rRNA from 1 species
GACGAACGCUGGCGGCGUGCUUAACACAUGCAGGUCGAACGGAAAGGCCCUGCUUUUGUGGGGUGCUCGAGUGGCGAACGGGUGAGUAACACGUGAGUAACCUGCCCUUGACUUUGGGAUAACUUCAGGAAACUGGGGCUAAUACCGGAUAGGAGCUCCUGCCGCAUGGUGGGGGUUGGAAAGUUUCGGCGGUUGGGGAUGGACUCGCGGCUUAUCAGCUUGUUGGUGGGGUAGUGGCUUACCAAGGCUUUGACGGGUAGCCGGCCUGAGAGGGUGACCGGCCACAUUGGGACUGAGAUACGGCCCAGACUCCUACGGGAGGCAGCAGUGGGGAAUAUUGCACAAUGGGCGGAAGCCUGAUGCAGCAACGCCGCGUGCGGGAUGACGGCCUUCGGGUUGUAAACCGCUUUCGCCUGUGACGAAGCGUGAGUGACGGUAAUGGGUAAAGAAGCACCGGCUAACUACGUG